UGGGGGAUAUUGCACAAUGGGCGAAAGCCUGAUGCAGCGACGCCGCGUGGGGGAUGAAGGCUUUCGGGUUGUAAACCUCUUUCGCUAUCGAACAAGGCCCGCUUAGGGUGGGUUGAGGGGAGGUGGAGAAGAAGCGCCGGCUAACUACGUGCCAGCAGCCGCGGUAAUACGUAGGGCGCGAGCGUUGUCCGGAAUUAUUGGGCGUAAAGGGCUUGUAGGCGGCUUGUUGCGCCUGCUGUGAAAACGCGGGGCUUAACUUCGCGCGUGCAGUGGGUACGGGCAGGCUUGAGUGUGGUAGGGGUGACUGGAAUUCCAGGUGUAGCGGUGGAAUGCGCAGAUAUCUGGAGGAACACCGAUGGCGAAGGCAGGUCACUGGGCCAUUACUGACGCUGAGGAGCGAAAGCAUGGGUAGCGAACAGG
rnacentral:rRNA from 1 species